GGAUUAGAUACCCUGGUAGUCCACGCCGUAAACGAUGUCUACUAGUUGUCGGUGGUCUUACUGCUGGUAACGCAGCUAACGCGAUAAGUAGACCGCCUGGGGAGUACGGCCGCAAGGUUAAAACUCAAAUGAAUUGACGGGGGCCCGCACAAGCGGUGGAGCAUGUGGUUUAAUUCGAAGCAACGCGAAGAACCUUACCUGGCCUUGACAUCCUGCGAAUCUCUUGGAGACAAGAGAGUGCCUUCGGGAACGCAGAGACAGGUGCUGCAUGGCUGUCGUCAGCUCGUGCCG
rnacentral:rRNA from 1 species